rnacentral:rRNA from 1 species
AUUGAACGCUGGCGGCGGGCCUAACACAUGCAAGUCGAGCGGAGCGGCGGACGGGUGAGUAAUGCCUAGUAAUCUGCCUGGUAGUGGGUGAUAACGUCCGGAAACGGGCGCUAAUACCGCAUACUAUCUGAUGAGCCUACGUCGGAUGAGCUAGUUGGUUGGGUAAAGGCUCACAUAGGCGACGAUCCCUAGCUGGUCUGAGAGGAGGACCAGCCACAUGGGAACUGAGACACGGUCCAGACUCCUACGGGAGGCAGCAGUGGGGAAUAUUGCACAAUGGGCGCAAGCCUGAUGCAGCAAUGCCGCGUGUGUGAAGAAGGCCUUCGGGUUGUAAAGCACUUUCAGCGGGGAGGCGUUACCCGAAGAAGAAGCACCGGCUAACUCCGUGCCAGCAGCCGCGGUAAUUC